rnacentral:rRNA from 1 species
UACAGAGGGUGCAAGCGUUGUUCGGAUUUACUGGGCGUAAAGGGCGCGUAGGCGGUCAGCACAAGUCAGCUGUGAAAUCUCCGGGCUUAACUCGGAAAGGUCAACUGAUACUGUGCGACUAGAGUGCAGAAGGGCAACUGGAAUUCUCGGUGUAGCGGUGAAAUGCGUAGAUAUCGAGAGGAACACCUGCGGCGAAGGCGGGUUGCUGGGCUGACACUGACGCUGAUGCGCGAAAGCCAGGGGAGCGAACGGG